UAAUUGCAAUUCAAGUUUAGUUUGGAAUUCUAUAUAUUCGCAGUUUGAAAGAGUAAUUGACAGAGGGGGUCUUUUUGCUUUUGACUAGGAGCUACCUGUAUACAAGUAACCACAAAGAACUGGAAAAGUGAAAAGAACAUCAGGUGGGCUCUGAUAUAUUAUGGAAAUGGACAAGGAGAAGGAAUGUUUGACUAUGCCUCAAGCUUUGGGAAUUUGCAUGUAUUUUUGCUUCACAGGUGCUAUAUGGGGAUCAUUUUGUUUGAUUAAGAUUAUGAAGAACCAUGAAGACCAUAAACUAUCAUUAACCUUGGUCGUUUACUUCAUUGUUGUUCGUCAUAUUUUGGUCAUUUUUUUCUUCGCAGUAACUAUGAAGUUUUUUGUUGAAGUGGUGUAUAAAGUCAUAACCAGACAAAGAAAAGUUGAGCCUCCCUCAACUGUGGAGGCAGGGGAGUGUAAAUCCAUGGUUUAGUAGUCAAGAUAUGGAUGUUUGAACAGUUCAAAUCAUGGAUGACGCGGAAGCGUGUUGUGUGCU